UAUCUUGUAAAGUGUCAGAUGAACUAGAAAUCCUACGGUAUUUAAAACCUCGUCAAGCUUUAAUAAUCAUCUUUUUUAUCUAUGUGUCGCAAGUACAUCUCCGGAUAACGAAAUUGCCGCCUUCAGUUUCGUAUCUAUCCAAGAGAACCAUAACAUGUCUUCAAGAUUCUUAACGUUCCCACGGAAGUGCACUCUGGCUCAGAAAAACUAGCUCGUCCGAAAACAAUUAAAUGAAUACUGCUAACCAACUCUCAUCUAAGAGGGUCGAAUUGACUGGGUUUACUACCCAAGACGUGAAUUGUUUAACACAGAGAAGUGCUUUUUUGUGAGUAUCUCCUAGGAAUUUCCAUUUCAGCGAUUAGCAUGCAAAUCUUACAAAAGAUUGUAUGAAAAACCAACGUUUUGUUUUAGCGCCAUAUUACCGCUGCAAGAAAUAAAAAAUACAAAACAAGUCAUAGUUUAUUUAAGUAUAAAAAAUUCAUUUCCUUUCAAGCAUCCUUAGUCGUUCUGAAUUCUCGACCUCUAGUUAAACGUAAAU